UACGGGGGGAGCAAGCGUUGUCCGGAAUUAUUGGGCGUAAAGAGCUCGUAGGCGGUCAGUCGCGUCUGCUGUGAAAACUCGGGGCUUAACUCCGGGCCUGCAGUGGGUACGGGCUGACUAGAGUGCGGUAGGGGAGACUGGAAUUCCUGGUGUAGCGGUGAAAUGCGCAGAUAUCAGGAGGAACACCGGUGGCGAAGGCGGGUCUCUGGGCCGUAACUGACGCUGAGGAGCGAAAGCGUGGGGAGCGAACAGG
rnacentral:rRNA from 1 species